rnacentral:rRNA from 1 species
GCCUGCGAUAAGCUCCGGGGAACUGGCAAGCAAGUUUUGAUCCGGAGAUCUCUGAAUGGGGGAACCCAUUAACGACGUAAGUCGAGCCAACCCAGGGAACUGAAACAUCUAAGUACCUGGAGGAAAGGAAAUCAAUUGAGACUCCCUUAGUAGCGGCGAGCGAACGGGGACCAGCCUAAACCAGAUCAGUCUUAUGAUCUGGGGUGUGGACAGAUAACAUGGGAAAAUAGGAUAGUAGAAGCUGGUGGAAAACAGCGGCAUAGAGGGUGAUACCCCCUUAUACGAAAUCCGAAAAUAACCUAUUCUGUUCCCGAGUACCGUGGGACACGUGUAACCCUGCGGGAAUAUGGGGGGACCCCCCUCCAAGGCUAAGUACUACUCAGUGACCGAUAGUGAACAAGUACCGUGAGGGAAAGGUGAAAAGUACCCCGAGAGGGGGGUGAAAUAGAACCUGAAACCGAUUGCCUACAAACAGUGGGAGCUCUUCGGAGUGACCGCGUACCUUUUGCAUAAUGAGUCAGCGAGUUGCGUGUCGUGGCAAGGUUAAUUCGAUAGAUGGAGCCGCAGGGAAACCGAGUCUGAAUAGGGCAUUCAGUCGCGGCGCGCAGACCCGAAGCCAGUUGAGCUAUCCAUGGCCAGGUUGAAGCGAGGGUAAGACUUCGUGGAGGACCGAACCCACAUAUGUUGAAAAAUAUGGGGAUGAGCUGUGGAUAGGAGUGAAAGGCUAAUCAAAACUGGAGAUAGCUGGUUCUCUCCGAAAUGCAUUUAGGUGCAGCCUCAGAUGAAUACCGCCAGCGGUAAAGCACUGACAGGGCUAGGGGCCGCAAGGUUACUGAACCCUUUCAAACUCUGAAUUCUGGUGAGUAAUAUCUGGGAGUGAGACUGCGGGAGAUAAGUUUCGUAGUCAAAAGGGAAAGAGCCCAGACUAUCGGCUAAGGUCCCUAAAUAUAUACUAAGUGGUCAAGGAUGUGGGAGAUCACAGACAAUCAGGAGGUUGGCUUAGAAGCAGCCACCCUUUAAAGAAAGCGUAAUAGCUCACUGAUCGAGAUAGCCUGCGCCGUAAAUAUAACGGGGCUAAGNAUAUUACCGAAGCCGUAGACUUUGCGUNAGCAAAGUGGUAGGAGAGCGUUCCANNANCGNNGAAGNUANAUCGGCAAGGUNUANUGGAGUGANUGGAAGUGAGAAUGCUGACAUGAGUAGCGAUAAAGAGGGUGAAAAUCCCUCUCGCCGAAAACCCAAGGGUUCCUGUCCAAGGCCAAUCCGGGCAGGGUUAGUCGGCCCCUAAGGUGUAGCCGAAAGGCGAAGCUGAUGGGAAACAGGUUAAUAUUCCUGUACUGUUUGCGUGGAGCAAGAGCAAGGACGGAGGAGGGUAGGCCGGCCAGUAAUGGAUUCUGGUGUAAGCAUGUAGGCUGAGGUGUAGGAAUAAAACGCACUUCGAUAGCUGAGAUGUGAAAUCUGGUUGAUCCCAUGCUUCCAAGAAAAGUUGCGAUCUGCAUUUGACACGUAAUACAACCGUACCCCAAACCAACUCAGGUGGGUAGGUGGAGAACACUAAGGCGCUUGAGAGAACUCGGGUUAAGGAACUAGGCAAAUUGACACCGUAACUUCGGGAGAAGGUGUGCCAUCAUUAAGUGAAGCCCCCGCGGGUGGAGCAGAAGGUGGUUGCAACAAAGCAGCGGUAGCGACUGUUUACCAAAAACACAGGACUCUGCGAAAUCGUAAGAUGAUGUAUAGGGUCUGACGCCUGCCCGGUGCUGGAAGGUUAAGAGGAGGUGUGAGAGCUCCGAAUCGAAGCCCCAGUAAACGGCGGCCGUAACAAUAACGGUCCUAAGGUAGCGAAAUUCCUUGUCGGGUAAGUUCCGACC